rnacentral:rRNA from 1 species
AACAGGAUUAGAUACCCUGGUAGUCCACGCCGUAAACGAUGAGUGCUAAGUGUUAGAGGGUUUCCGCCCUUUAGUGCUGCAGCAAACGCAUUAAGCACUCCGCCUGGGGAGUACGGCCGCAAGGCUGAAACUCAAAGGAAUUGACGGGGGCCCGCACAAGCGGUGGAGCAUGUGGUUUAAUUCGAAGCAACGCGAAGAACCUUACCAGGUCUUGACAUCCUCUGCCACUCCUAGAGAUAGGACGUUCCCCUUCGGGGGACAGAGUGACAGGUGGUGCAUGGUUGUCGUCAGCUCGUGUCGUGAGAUGUUGGGUUAAGUCCCGCAACGAGCGCAACCCUUAUUGUUAGUUGCCAUCAUUUAGUUGGGCACUCUAGCAAGACUGCCGGUGACAAACCGGAGGAAGGUGGGGAUGACGUCAAAUCAUCAUGCCCCUUAUGACCUGGGCUACACACGUGCUACAAUGGGAAGUACAACGAGUCGCGAAGUCGCGAGGCUAAGCUAAUCUCUUAAAGCUUCUCUCAGUUCGGAUUGUAGGCUGCAACUCGCCUACAUGAAGCCGGAAUCGCUAGUAAUCGCGGAUCAGCACGCCGCGGUGAAUACGUUCCCGGGCCUUGUACACACCGCCCGUCACACCACGAAAGUUUGUAACACCCGAAGUCGGUGAGGUAACCCUUUGGAGCCAGCCGCCUAAAGUGGGAUAGAUGAUUGGGGUGAAGUCGUAACAAGGUAACC